AACGAACGCUGGCGGCAUGCCUAACACAUGCAAGUCGAACGAGACCUUCGGGUCUAGUGGCGCACGGGUGCGUAACGCGUGGGAACCUGCCCUUAGGUUCGGAAUAACUCCCCGAAAGGGGUGCUAAUACCGGAUAAUGUCUUCGGACCAAAGAUUUAUCGCCUUUGGAUGGGCCCGCGUUCGAUUAGCUAGUUGGUAGGGUAAAAGCCUACCAAGGCGACGAUCCAUAGCUGGUCUGAGAGGAUGAUCAGCCACACUGGGACUGAGACACGGCCCAGACUCCUACGGGAGGCAGCAGUGGGGAAUAUUGGACAAUGGGCGAAAGCCUGAUCCAGCAAUGCCGCGUGAGUGAUGAAGGCCUUAGGGUUGUAAAGCUCUUUUACCCGGGAUGAUAAUGACAGUACCGGGAGAAUAAGCGCCGGCUAACUCCGUG
rnacentral:rRNA from 1 species